CCUCAUCACUGCAGCAAAAGGGUGAAGCAGUGAAAAAUAACUGCAACAAUGCCUAAUGGACACCAUUCGUUUCUGCCACUUCCCUUGCUGCCAUGGGAUGAGCAGUUGUCUUCCACUGGGUCGUUUGUGCCUUGGAGACAGCCAGCUUUGGAUUGAAACUGUGAGCC